CUAGCCGUAAACGAUGGACACUAGGUGUCGGGGGUGUCGACUCCCUCGGUGCCGAAGCUAACGCAUUAAGUGUCCCGCCUGGGGACUACGGCCGCAAGGCUAAAACUCAAAGGAAUUGACGGGGGCCCGCACAAGCAGUGGAGCAUGUGGUUUAAUUCGACGCAACGCGAAGAACCUUACCUGGGCUUGACAUGUACGUGGUAGGAAUCGGAAACGUGCCCGACCCUUCGGGGAGCGUACACAGGUGG
rnacentral:rRNA from 1 species